GGAGUUGUGCCUCAGUGGUAGAGAGCUCACCUAGCAUGUGCGGGGCGCGGGGUUCGAUCCUCAGCACCA
rnacentral:tRNA from 1 species